CACUUCGGUGGUACUCGAGCGGCGAACGGGUGAGUAACACGUGAGUAAUCUGCCCCUGGCUUCGGGAUAGCCACCGGAAACGGUGAUUAAUACCGGAUAUGACAGACCCUCGCAUGGGGGUGUGUGGAAAGUUUUUCGGCCAGGGAUGUGCUCGCGGCCUAUCAGCUUGAUGGUGAGGUAAUGGCUCACCAUGGCUUCGACGGGUAGCCGGCCUGAGAGGGUGACCGGCCACACUGGGACUGAGACACGGCCCAGACUCCUACGGGAGGCAGCAGUGGGGAAUAUUGGACAAUGGGCGGAAGCCUGAUCCAGCAACGCCGCGUGAGGGAUGACGGCCUUCGGGUUGUAAACCUCUUUCAGUACCGACGAAGCGCAAGUGACGGUAGGUACAGAAGAAGCACCGGCCAACUACGUGCCAGCAGCCGCGGUAAUACGUAGGGUGCGAGCGUUGUCCGGAAUUAUUGGGCGUAAAGGGCUCGUAGGCGGUUUGUCGCGUCGGGAGUGAAAACGCCGUGCUUAACACGGCGCUUGCUUCCGAUACGGGCAGACUAGAGGUAUUCAGGGGAGAACGGAAUUCCUGGUGUAGCGGUGAAAUGCGCAGAUAUCAGGAGGAACACCGGUGGCGAAGGCGGUUCUCUGGGAAUGACCUGACGCUGAGGAGCGAA
rnacentral:rRNA from 1 species